UACGAAGGGGGCUAGCGUUGUUCGGAAUUACUGGGCGUAAAGCGUGCGCAGGCGGCUUCUCAAGUCAGGGGUGAAAGCCCAGGGCUUAACCCUGGAAUUGCCUUUAAGACUGCAUCGCUAGAAUCGUGGAGAGGUGAGUGGAAUUCCGAGUGUAGAGGUGAAAUUCGUAGAUAUUCGGAAGAACACCAGUGGCGAAGGCGACUCACUGGACACGUAUUGACGCUGAGGUGCGAAAGCGUGGGGAGCAAACAGG
rnacentral:rRNA from 1 species